rnacentral:rRNA from 1 species
UACGUAGGGGGCAAGCGUUAUCCGGAUUUACUGGGUGUAAAGGGAGCGCAGACGGAACUGCAAGUCUGAUGUGAAAGCCCGGGGCUCAACCGCGGGACUGCAUCGGAUACUGUGGAUCUGGAGUGCCGGAGGGGCAAGCGGAAUUCCUGGUGUAGCGGUGAAAUGCGUAGAUAUCAGGAGGAACACCGGCGGCGAAGGCGGCUUGCUGGACGGCAACUGACGUUGAGGCUCGAAAGCGUGGGGAGCAAACAGGAUUAGAUACCCU